GACGUGGGGGGCCAGCGUUGCUCGGAAUUACUGGGUGUAAAGGGUUCGUAGGCGGUGUAGCAAGUCGGGAGUGAAAUCUCUGGGCUCAACCCAGAGACUGCUUCCGAAACUGCUGUGCUUGAGUGUGGGAGAGGCGCGUGGAAUUGCAGGUGUAGCGGUGAAAUGCGUAGAUAUCUGCAGGAACACCCGUGGCGAAGGCGGCUCUCUGGCUCGCCACUGACGCUGAGGCGCGAAAGCUAGGGGAGCAAACAGG
rnacentral:rRNA from 1 species